GUUAAAUUCAUUAGGUCUGCAGUAGUUGUUUGAGGUGAUGGGUUCGGUUGGGUUAAAUUCAUUAGGUCUGCAGUAGUUGUUUGAGGUGAUGGGUUCGGUUGGGUUAAAUUCAUUAGGUCUGCAGUAGUUGUUUGAGGUGAUGGGUUCGGUUGGGUUAAAUUCAUUAGGUCUGCAGUAGUUGUUUGAGGUGAUGGGUGAGGUUGGGUUAAAUUCAUUAGGUCUGCAGUAGUUGUUUGAGGUGAUGGGUUCGGUU